AUUGAACGCUGGCGGCAGGCCUAACACAUGCAAGUCGAGCGGAUGAAGGGAGCUUGCUCCUGGAUUCAGCGGCGGACGGGUGAGUAAUGCCUAGGAAUCUGCCUGGUAGUGGGGGAUAACGUCCGGAAACGGGCGCUAAUACCGCAUACGUCCUGAGGGAGCAAGUGGGGGAUCUUCGGACCUCACGCUAUCAGAUGAGCCUAGGUCGGAUUAGCUAGUUGGUGGGGUAAAGGCCUACCAAGGCGACGAUCCGUAACUGGUCUGAGAGGAUGAUCAGUCACACUGGAACUGAGACACGGUCCAGACUCCUACGGGAGGCAGCAGUGGGGAAUAUUGGACAAUGGGCGAAAGCCUGAUCCAGCCAUGCCGCGGGUGUGAAGAAGGUCUUCGGAUUGUAAAGCACUUUAAGUUGGGAGGAAGGGCAGUAAGUUAAGACCUGGCUGUUUUGACGUUACCAACAGAAUAAGCACCGGCUAACUUCGU
rnacentral:rRNA from 1 species